CAGUAGGAAUUUGUUGGGGGGAAAUAAAGUGGAUGUGAGUAUCAAUACCGCCAGCUGUAACAAUAAGCCCUUCGGCCGCUAGUGCUUCAGUAGCAGGACCUACACAAAGAUUGUUGUGUACACCAUCUUGAAUGUCUUUGUUGCCCGCUUUACCAAUGCCAGCAAUUUUGCCAUCUUUAAUGCCAAUGUCAGCUUUGUAAAUACCGCUGUAAUCUACAAUCAAGGCAUUGGUAAUAACCAAAUCUAACUCUUGAGUGCUAGGACUAUUAGUUUGGCCCAUCCCAUCACGG
rnacentral:sRNA from 16 species